rnacentral:lncRNA from 1 species
CGAACAUAUAAAAAUGCAUUAAAAUUUUAUGAAUACUUAAAGAUCACGUAGAGCAUAGCGAUAUAUUUCUAUCCUCUAUCGGAUUUUACGACAACUAACAUAAUAUCUAACUUAUUUUCCAUCUCUCGGGGGUAAAACAAGCCACAAAUCUCAUACAACUAUUGUGCAUCUAAUUGUAGAGAAAAUAAAAUCCAUGCCAAUCAUUAAUAAGUAAAAACAUGUUUUAACGUCAAAUAAAUAAAAUUCAAGAUUAAGAGUUCAUAAUAUAAGGUUCAUCGCAAAUCCUAGCACAAAAUAAUUUAGCCUAACAUAAUGUGAAAAUUAAACAAAGAAAAGUGGAAGAAUAUCACCAAAAAUCGAUCAAAUGUGAUUAAUUCCGCAAUUUUAUUUGGCUGCCGUCUUUUUCCUCUUCAGUUUAUGAUUUCCGCCUCUGCUUGCCUCGGGUCAUGGGUAUAUAUAAAUCCAUGCAGCCACAAGUUAAUUCCCACCGUCAGCCCAAUUUUAUUGCCAAUUGAAGAGUCCAAUUCCAGCACCCACUUACAUGAAAUGCAUGGUCAUAUGUGUAGACAAGAUUUGGUUAAUAAUUUUUACCAUCCAAUGGCAAUUAGCUGCCCAAUUAUGUGGGUAUUUUCUCUAAAAAAUCAGCUUUUGCAAUCCACUAGCAUAUCCUAGCAGCUGCCGACUUUUCCUCACUGAAGCACUCAAUUUUCGGCUCCCCCCCGUCCAGCUUCUCCCCAAUCUGUAGGUUUAUGUUUGUAUAUAUAUGAGGAAAUUACAUAAAAUCAGGUAUUAAAACUUUCAAAUUCAAAAUUAGGGGAUAUAGUUUACUUAAGCAAAAAUCAGGUAUUAUAUAUAAUUAACCCAUCCAAUUCAAUUAAAACCCUAAUCAUUUCCCCCAAAUUUUUCCCGUAUCAUAUCCCGUCUCUCUCUCUAUCUCUCUACCUUAUCCUUCGAUCGUCGUCCUCGUCAAGGAGCGACCGCCACCGAAGACAUCUCCGUCACUGUAAUAAUCUAUUCUCACUCUAACUCUCCAUCUUCUCUUCAUCUCCCUGUCCGUAUCUUCCUCGCGAUGCAGAUCUGCCCACUUCGGCAAGCUGUAGUGAUGAAAUGAAAAGGUGAAGCAAUUUCACCUACUUCGGCGACUUAAUGUAAUGAAGAAGCGAAUUUGUGGUGGUGAUUGUAAUGAAGAGACGAAUUUGAAAAUUUGGACAGUGUCUUAUGUGGUGAUGGCGUAUUUUUUGUGGCAGUUGGCAUUUGGGUGGGGCUUGGAUGGUUCUUUGUGUGGUGGUGGUGUUUGUGUGGUGGAGGUUUUGUAGUGGCGACUAUGGUGGUUGUUGAAUUUGGUGGUAGUGGUGUGAUUUUUCAACAUGUUUUGUUCCCUUUUUGAGGUGGUGGUGGCAAGUUUGUGGAUUCUUUGGUGGGGUGGUAGUUAGGUAUGGUGUAAAUGGAGAUGAAGGAAAUUGUGGUGGUGGUGGUGUGCUGUGCGUGGUGCGUUGUGCGAUAGUGGUGGCGGUGGCGGUGGCGAUGACGGUAACAGGUGGAGUGUCUGUGACCAAUAAUUAGGUGUCCGUGACCAACUAUUUAGGCGUACGUGACCAACUAUUUAGCUGAUUUGCGACUAAAUAUUAGGUGUCUGUGACUAAAAAAUAAUUUGUGACCAAUAAAUUGUAAUUUAUGCGACCCAUAUAUAAAAUGUGACUUGUAAUUUGAAUAACCUGUAACCUCGAAAUAAUAUGACAUACAAAAUUUUUUAUUUAUGACCACGAAAUAAUCUGUGAACAAUUAAUUUGACGAUAUGUGACCAAUAAAUAAAUACGUGACCAUUAAUCUUGUAAUUGUGACUUUAUUAUCUUUAUUUAAUAAAUAUUUUUAAUUAAUUAAAUGCAUACCUGAUUUUUGAAUUUUCAAACUACUUACUUGAUUUUUGAAUUGGGGGAAACAUAACCCCUG